UCUCCGUAGGUGAACCUGCGGAGGGAUCAUUACAGAGUUUUUGCCCGCGAGGGUAGAUCUCCCACCCUAUGUUAUUCCUUCUCCGUUGCUUUGGCGGGCCGUCCGGCCUCGGUCAGGCCACCGGCUCCGGCUGGUGCGCGCCCGCCAGAGGACCCCAAACCCUAAAUGUCAGUGUCGUCUGAGUACUAUAUAAUAGUUAAAACUUUCAACAACGGAUCUCUUGGUUCUG
rnacentral:misc_RNA from 1 species